UNGGAAUUACUGGGCGUAAAGCGAGCGCAGACGGUUUAUUAAGCAAGAUGUGAAAUCCCCGAGCUUAACUUGGGAACUGCGUUUUGAACUGNUAAGCUAGAGUAUGUCAGAGGGGGGUAGAAUUCCACGUGUAGCAGUGAAAUGCGUAGAGAUGUGGAGGAAUACCGAUGGCGAAGGCAGCCCCCUGGGAUAAUACUGACGUUCAUGCUNGAAAGCGUGGGUAGCAAACAGGAUUAGAUACCCUGGUAGUCCACGCCCUAAACGAUGUCAAUUAGCUGUUGGGGCACUUGAUGCCUUAGUAGCGAAGCUAACGCGUGAAAUUGACCGCCUGGGGAGUACGGUCGCAAGAUUAAAACUCAAAGGAAUUGACGGGGACCCGCACAAGCGGUGGAUGAUGUGGAUUAAUUCGAUGCAACGCGAAGAACCUUACCUGGUCUUGACAUGUACGGAAUCUUCCAGAGACGGAAGAGUGCCUUCGGGAGCCGUAACACAGGUGCUGCAUGGCUGUCGUCAGCUCGUGUCGUGAGAUGUUGGGUUAAGUCCCGCAACGAGCGCAACCCUUGUCAUUAGUUGCCACCAUUUAGUUGGGCACUCUAAUGAGACUGCCGGUGACAAACCGGAGGAAGGUGGGGAUGACGUCAAGUCCUCAUGGCCCUUAUGACCAGGGCUUCACACGUCAUACAAUGGUCGGUACAGAGGGUAGCCAAGCCGCGAGGUGGAGCCAAUCUCAGAAAACCGAUCGUAGUCCGGAUUGCACUCUGCAACUCGAGUGCAUGAAGUCGGAAUCGCUAGUAAUCGCCGGUCAGCAUACUGCGGUGAAUACGUUCCCGGGUCUUGUACACACCGCCCGUCACACCAUGGGAGUGGGGGAUACCAGAAGUAGGUAGGCU
rnacentral:rRNA from 1 species